UACGUAGGGUGCGAGCGCUGUCCGGAAUUAUUGGGCGUAAAGGGCUCGUAGGCGGUUUGUCGCGUCGGGAGUGAAAACCUUGGGCUUAACUCAGGGCUUGCUUUCGAUACGGGCAGACUAGAGGUAUGCAGGGGAGAACGGAAUUCCUGGUGUAGCGGUGAAAUGCGCAGAUAUCAGGAGGAACACCGGUGGCGAAGGCGGUUCUCUGGGCAUGAUCUGACGCUGAGGAGCGAAAGUGUGGGGAGCGAACAGG
rnacentral:rRNA from 1 species